CUACGUGAGGCUGCAGUGGGGAAUAUUGGACAAUGGGCGAAAGCCUGAUCCAGCCAUGCCGCGUGUGUGAAGAAGGCCUUCGGGUUGUAAAGCACUUUCAGUGGGGAAGAAAGCCUUGGGGCUAAUACCCUCGAGGAAGGACAUCACCCACAGAAGAAGCACCGGCUAACUCCGUGCCAGCAGCCGCGGUAAUACGGAGGGUGCGAGCGUUAAUCGGAAUUACUGGGCGUAAAGCGCGCGUAGGCGGUCUGAUAAGCCGGUUGUGAAAGCCCCGGGCUCAACCUGGGAACGGCAUCCGGAACUGUCAGGCUAGAGUGCAGGAGAGGAAGGUAGAAGUCCCGGUGUAGCGGUGAAAUGCGUAGAGAUCGGGAGGAAUACCAGUGGCGAAGGCGGCCUUCUGGACUGACACUGACGCUGAGGUGCGAAAGCGUGGGUAGCAAACAGGAUUAGAUACCCGGGUAGUC
rnacentral:rRNA from 1 species